rnacentral:rRNA from 1 species
AAACAAAGGGAGGCGAAGCCGCGAGGUGGAGCGAACCCCAGAAAUAACGUCUCAGUUCGGAUUGCAGGCUGCAACCCGCCUGCAUGAAGCCGGAAUCGCUAGUAAUCGCGGAUCAGAAUGCCGCGGUGAAUACGUUCCCGGGUCUUGUACACACCGCCCGUCACACCAUGGGAGUCGAUAACGCCCGAAGUCAGUGACCCAACCGAGAGGAGGGAGCUGCCGAAGGCGGGAUUGAUAACUGGGGUGAAGUCGUAACAAGGUACC